GUUUGAUCCUGGCUCAGAGCGAACGCUGGCGGCGUGCUUAACACAUGCAAGUCGAGUGCGCGCCUGUAGCAAUACAGGUGGCGCACGGCGCACGGGUGCGUAACACGUGGGUAAUCUGCCCUUCGAUGGGGAAUAACUCCGGGAAACCGAAGCUAAUUCCGCAUAACAUUCCUUGAACUUCGGUUUGGGGACUCAAAGCCGUAAGGCGUCGGAGGAGGAACCCGCGCACGAUUAGCUAGUUGGUAGGGUAACGGCCUACCAAGGCUUUGAUCGUUAGCUGGUCUGAGAGGAUGGCCAGCCACACUGGAACUGAGACACGGUCCAGACUCCUACGGGAGGCAGCAGUGGGGAAUCUUGCACAAUGGGCGAAAGCCUGAUGCAGCGACGCCGCGUGGGGGAUGAAGCUUUUCGGAGUGUAAA
rnacentral:rRNA from 1 species